rnacentral:rRNA from 1 species
GCUCAACCGAGGAAGUGCUUCGAAAACUGGUAAACUUGAGUGCAGAAGAGGAAAGUGGAACUCCAUGUGUAGCGGUGGAAUGCGUAGAUAUAUGGAAGAACACCAGUGGCGAAGGCGGCUUUCUGGUCUGUAACUGACGCUGAGAUUCGAAAGCAUGGGUAGCAAACAGGAUUAGAUACCCUGGUAGUCCAUGCCGUAAACGAUGAGUGCUAAGUGUUGGAGGGUUUCCGCCCUUCAGUGCUGCAGCUAACGCAUUAAGCACUCCGCCUGGGGAGUACGACCGCAAGGUUGAAACUCAAAGGAAUUGACGGGGGCCCGCACAAGCGGUGGAGCAUGUGGUUUAAUUCGAAGCAACGCGAAGAACCUUACCAGGUCUUGACAUACCAUGAAAAGCUUAGAGAUAAGUCUUUCCCUUCGGGGACAUGGAUACAGGUGGUGCAUGGUUGUCGUCAGCUCGUGUCGCGAGAUGUUGGGUUAAGUCCCGCAACGAGCGCAACCCUUAUUAUCAGUUGCCAGCAUUCAGUUGGGCACUCUGGUGAGACUGCCGGUGACAAACCGGAGGAAGGUGGGGACGACGUCAAAUCAUCAUGCCCCUUAUGACCUGGGCUACACACGUGCUACAAUGGUCGGUACAACG